CGCCGCUCUGCGGUACGAGAACGCCUGCACGCGUUUUCCAGACAACCCGAGCGCGCCUCACCCCCGCCGUUCCGAGCCGCGGCUGCCCUGCAGGUGUUCCGCAACUCCCCCUCAGGAGAUUGAUGUAAAGUUAAAAGCAUGGUGAUAAAAACAACACACACAAAAUGCUGGUGGAACGCAGCAGGCCAGGCAGCAUCUAUAAGGAAAAGCACUGUGGACGUUUUGGGCCAAGACCCUUCGUCAGAAUCCUCUCUAGCAUGUUCUGACAAAAGAUCUCUGACCUGAAAAAAAUCAGUUUGUCUUUCCAAAGUUGCUAUGUUUCCUGUUGAAUGUUUUCUCUCUGUGUAUGUACCUCAUUAAACACAAGAACUUACAGUCACCAUAGGCAACUAUCUGUCAUCUUCAGAACAAAAAUGACAGACAUUUUGGAUUGGCAACAAUAUCUCCUCCUCAAUCUCCAUCAGCAGAGGUGUACCACGGGACUGCGUGCUUAGCCCCCUGCUCCACUUGCUUUAUGACUGUCUGGAUCGGGAGCAGCAUCUCCAACACCAUCACGCUGAGCACGGGGGCUCCCCAGGGCUGUGUGCUCAGUCCACUGCUAUUCACUCUGCUGACCCACGACUGUGCAGCAAUACACAGCUCGAAUUACAUCAUCAAGUUCGCCAAUGACACGACCGUGGUGGGUCUCAUCAGCAAGAAUGACAAGUCAGCUUACAGAGAGGAGGUGCAGCGGCUAACAGGUGGGUGCAGAACCAACGACCUGUCUCCGAAUGUGAACAAAACAAAAGAGAUGAUUGUUGACUUCAGGAGGACAUGGAGCGACCACUCUCCGCUGAACAUCAAUGGCUCCUCAGUAGAGAUCAAACUUCUUGGUGUUCACUUGGCGGAGGAUCUCACCUGGUCCCUCAACACCAGCUCCAUAGGCAAGAAAGCCCAGCAGUGUCUCUACUUUCUGCAAAGGCUGAGAAAAGUCCAUCUCCCACCCCCAUCCUCACCACAUUCUACAGACGAUGUAUCGAGAGCAUCCUGAGGAGCUGCAUCACUGCCUGGUUCGGGAAUUGCACAGCCUCGGAUCACAAGACCCUGCAACGGAUAGGGAGGUCAGCUGAGAAGAUCAUCGGAGUCUCUCUUUCUGCUAUUACAGACAUUUACACCACAGGCUGCACCCACAAAGCUAACAGUAUUGUGAAGGACCCCAAGCACACCUCACACAAACUCUUCUCCCUCCUGCCAUCUGGCAAUAGGUACCGAAGCACUUGGGCUGUCACGACCAGACUGUGCAACAGUUUCUUCCCCCAAGCCAUCAGACUCCUCAAUACUCAGAGUCCAGACUGACAUCUACAUCAUUUAUUAUUAUAUUGUAAUUUGUCUUCGACUGAGCCUAUUGUCUUGUUUAUUAAUUAUUCUACUGCCCUGCGCUGUUUUGUGCACUUUAUGUAGUCCUUUGCAUGUCUGUAGUUUAGUGCAGUUUUUAUGUUGUUUUACAUAGUCUAGUGUAGCCUUGUGCUGUCUCACGUAGCCUAGUGUAGUUUUGUGUUGUUUCAUGUAUCACCAGGGUCCUGGAGGAACGUUGUUUUGCUUUUACUGUGUACUGUAUCAGCAGUUUAUGGUCAAAAUGACAAUAAACUUGACUUGGCUUGACUUGAAGCACAAUUCCAAUACCAUAUUCAUGUUUGCUGAUAACACCACUGUUGUGUGCUCAAUGAAAGGUGGUGAUGAAUCAUCAUACAGGAGGGAGACUGAAAGUUUGACUGAGUGGUGUCAUAACAAUCUCUUACUCACUGUCAGCAAGACCAAAGAACUGAUUGUCGACUUCAGGAGAGGGAAACCAGAGGUCCGUGAGCCAGUCCUCAUCGGAGGAUCAGAGAUGGAGAGGUUUAGCAACUUUAAAUUCCUGGGUGUCACUAUUUCAGAGGACGUGGCCUGGACCCAACAAGUAAGCACAAUUGUGAAGACUACACAGCAGCUUCUGUACUUCCUUUGGAAUCUGCGGACAUUCAGCACGUCCGUAGGGAAAUGAAUCUCAGGGGUGUAUAUGGUGACAUACCUAUACUUGGUUAAUAAAUUUACUUUGAACUUUAAUCUAGUAGGAGUAACAAUUUUUUCAGUUUAUUUAUUUUCCUGAAUCUGGGUAUCACUGGCAUACCCAUUUAUUACCCAUCCCUUUGAUAUAGCACACAACAGUGGUGUUAUCAGCAAACAUGAAUAUGGUAUUGGAACUGUGUUUAGCCACACCGUCAUAGAUGCAAAGCAAGUAGAUCCUGACCAACAGAGAGCCUCUGUUGGGUGUCAAUCAAAUAGGCUGUUUUGUCAGGAGUGGUAUUUAGGUUCCAAAGAUUUGUUGGCACUGCACUUUUCCCGGCAAGUGAAAAGUAUUCCAUUAGUUCCUGACAUGCCUAAUGGAAUUUAUUUUGACUUUAGUAUAAAUCUGAUACCAAAUGACUUUAUCAGGUAAGGGAGAGGGGAACAAGUCUCUGACCAAAUUAAAAGUUGAGAAGGGGAAAGGUAAGGAGCUCCAUUGGGUAUCCUGGCAUGCCACUGCACCACUACCUUAAUGGAUUGAAAGUCUUGAGAGAUGAGAGCUUCUGGAAGGGAAAUCAUUUGGUUUGGCUGAGAGCCAUCAAUAGCAUCUAGGUGAAGGCUUGAAGGACAGAAAGGAGAUAUUGAAUUUAACAUAGUGCACAACAAGUUGCUCACUGCACCAUAAAAACACAGCUGUCUUGAAAAUAAUCAGCAGUAUAGUUCAAUUGCUCAGGCAAUACUGCAUUGCAUAAGAAUUAAUGCAUUCAAUAUACUUAUGAUACAAAUGCUAAAAUUCUGUCAAAUUCACCUGUGCUGAGAAAGAAGUUCUCCUGUUCUGGACAUGACAUUGAUACAGCAAUAAUGAGCCAGUCAAGCUUAACCUGUCAAAAGGGAGCUUCACUGCUAGAUUUCAAAGACCCAAACGCCUGUCUUUUGAAUCUGUUCGCUUACACGUUUAUGAAAAACAGUCUGCACUUAGUCACAAACAAGAGAAAAUCUGCAGAUGCUGGAAAUCCAAGCAACACACACAAAAUGUUUGAGAAACUCAGCAGGCCAGGCAGCAUUUAUGGAGAAGAGUACAGUCAAUGUUUCUGACCGAAAUCCAUUAAUGCAUCUGCAUUUGCAAAGACAAUCACAAUACUUAAGAACCCCAAUAUACAUAACUAAGAAGCUAGACAAACCUG